AUGAUCCAGUAUUGUGGGUCCGCGAAGAGGGAAGUGCAGGGCGGUUUCUGUAGUGAUCACUCAUGCGGACGGGCCGGCUUUAGGGCCCCGGGCCAGGAAUGUGGAGUCCUCAGCUUUGGACACAUUCAGAUAGUCGGGUGUCAGGGCGGUCUGAGGGAGCCUCUCCCAAAGAAUCCAGUCAGUCCAUCCCAUAGAAGGUAAUACAUGCAAAAGGGGACUCCGACAUAGCUGGGAAUGGGGGUAACUGCUUCUUGGACGAAUCCUUUGGAUCUAGGAUCAGUGUCAGAUCUCAGUUGGAGGAGAUUAGCUUCACACCAGAGGCUUCCCUGGGAAGGUCUGAGCAGGAUUCCGCCCGGUCCUACAGCCACUCCGUCUCUCUGCUUCCGUGUUUUCCAGUCGUCUGCAGCCAAUCUACCGAGCCUGCCAUGAUAAACUUUUCCUUUUUCGCUCGCUCAGCCUGUGUGGGAGGUUUCCUGUGUGGCUUAACUUCCGCCAAAAUAGAGGAAGGAUCCCGGAGACAGUUAAACAGAGCUGUGAUACUGUCAGUGCAAAAAAAGGGUCCGUUUUCACCAGCAGCUUGGGACGCUGCUAUUUGUCCUUCCUUUUAACUGACCCUUGUUUUUAAAAUGGCAAAGCAGGAAGAAUGUUACAGUUUAGUUUCUUUUUAAAAAAAAACACGAAGUCGACCAUUUUUUGCCAACACUGACCAGCGGUACAUGGCUUUUCACUGGAGCUGCCCCAUUCUACUAUACCAUUUCACACAUGGUUUUCUUGCAUUUCGGCGCAACCGUGGGAUGAAGGUGUGGGGAUAGGGGGUGAAGAUCGCUUUUAUUUUCUCACCAGCCGAAUUCUCGUGUGCGUUUGCCGUGUCCUGUGGCUUACCGCGCUGAAGGGAUGAGCUGGAUGUCUAAGCAAUGCCACUCAACUAUUGCACGCGUGCAACAAAAGCCCAAACUAUAAGGAGACAAACAGGAGGCUGGAAGAACACAGCAAGCCAGACUAUAAAUUGCUGCUGCUUUUAGAUUUACAGUGUGGAAACAGGCCCUUCGGCCCAACAAGUCCACAACGACCCUCCGAGGAGCAACCCACCCAGACACAUUCCCUGACAUUUACGUCUUCACCUAACACUACGGGCAAUUUAGCAUGGCCAGUUCACCUAACCUGCACAUUUUUGGAAUGUGGGAGCUGGGGAAGUAUCUGAUCAUUUACUUGACCCUUCCGGGAUGGGAACCCUCCCAAGUGGAAACUGACAAGACACGUGUUUGUGCGCUCGAUAUUUUGCUAAUCGACCUGCUCAGCGAUCGUACUGUUGGUGUGUUUUCAGAUACUGAGCCAACAUGCCACCGCCCAAAUCCUUCAGGUAGCACCUCUCAAUCGGAGCUAACUCGCCGGUGAUCAGACUGUGUGACUGUCGAUCUUGUGUGUGACUGCCGCGUGUAAAAGCUGUUACAAUGUUACCUUGUGGAGUUCCGGGGAAGCAGAGCUGCACCCGGCAGCAGUAUGGAAACCCACGCUGAUUAUCGUUCGAGAGUGCUGUCGAAGACAUUCAAUCCAGUUCCUUUAUCGCAUUUUGUGUUGAGCGAAGGAUGUGCUUCAACCAGAGUUACGCAGGGAAAUCUCCCACACAAAAUCAAUCGACACAUCUUUAAUUUCUAAAAUAAAUUGGAGCCACGACCAGAAAAGGAGGAACCCCCAUCUGUACAACGCUGAUCGUAACUUCGAGGCAUUCCAGAGCGUUUCACAGCCAACACUUACAUAAUGUAAUAACUCGCGGUGUAGGAAAUUUAUACAAAGCAGGAUCCCAUAAACAUCAAUGAUCUGAAUACCCAACUAGUCUGUUUUAAGUGGUUCUGGUUGAGGGAUAAUUGGCUGAGGCCGGGAGCAUUCUGUGCUCUUAUUUAAAAUAGUGCCAUGUCGUCAUUUGGCUACACCUGCAGGUGUUGCUGGAUCUGCUGAGUACCUCUACCAUUUUCUGUUUCGAACAUUGACUAAAAUGCUCUGGUGGGAAGAUGGAAUGAAAUUCAUGUCUUGCACGUGUUACACUGGUCAUUAUACUUUACCAUGUUUCCAGUUACAUGGAAUUUUGCAUCCUAAGAUGGCAUCCUGAAGUAUGCUAAGAAAGAAUGAUCUGCAUUUGUUUCGUACUUAAUCAACAACUUGUUUUUUUUUGUAUUGAAUACUCUUAAGUUGUUUUACAGAGGCAAAACCAGACAGAAGAUAAGGAUAUUGGGUGACAAAAUGCUGAGUGAAGAGCUUUGGGCCACUAGAUGCACAGUUCACCUUCCAGUCCUCCAGCUGCUCCUUCCUCGCCAAGCACAGCUUCGACUUCCAGAAGGCAUGAUACUCCGGGCGCUCUACUGGAGACCUGAGGACACCUCGGAGAAAGUGGGAAAGAUCUUACUGUGGGACUGAUGCAGUAGUUCAAUAGAUAAGGUUUAAGGACGUUUUGUACAGCUGGAAAAGGGAAAUGAUGGGGCAGAAGAGUCUAGUAAGCGAUUUGCAAAAUGAAGGAUGUGCUGCAUUGGGCAAUGUAUCUAGUCCAUAUGACGUACAAAUUCACUAAAAUAAAAAGCAAAGACUACAAAUGUUUGAGAUCUGUUAAUACUUCAUAAAACGCAGAAGAGUAAGUUAAGGAAAGCGUUGGAUGAAAAGAGGCCACUAAGCCUUUAAACUUUCUCCCUCUUACCUAAUAAUUCUUUUAUGUUGAAGAGUUUGCUUUUGCCCUAAUUAUUUAUUUUCUGUUUGAUCAAAAAUGGUUUUCCAACCACUGUUACAAAUUUGCUGCCUUUUUAUUAAUUCACAGAAUUGUGUUUCUCAAUCGCAUCAUUAUUUAUUGCUCUUGAGAAGGUAAUGGUUGUAACUACACCAAAUCGACCACUGCAGCCUAUUUAAUAUAGGUACACUCACAAUGCUAUUAGGAAGGAAGUUUAGGAUUUUGAUUCAGUGAUACUGAAGGUACAGCAAUAUAUUUCCAAGUCAGAAUUUUGAGUGAAUUGAAGGGGAAUUUGCAGGUGCUGCCUUUGUCCUUUCAGAUGGUCGUGGUUGUGGGUUUCAUUACCAUUAUUAAAAUAG